CCUACGGGGGCAGCAGUGGGGAAUAUUGGACAAUGGGCGAAAGCCUGAUCCAGCCAUGCCGCGUGUGUGAAGAAGGCCUUCGGGUUGUAAAGCACUUUCAGUGGGGAAGAAAGCCUUGGGGCUAAUACCCUCGAGGAAGGACAUCACCCACAGAAGAAGCACCGGCUAACUCCGUGCCAGCAGCCGCGGUAAUACGGAGGGUGCGAGCGUUAAUCGGAAUUACUGGGCGUAAAGCGCGCGUAGGCGGUCUGAUAAGCCGGUUGUGAAAGCCCCGGGCUCAACCUGGGAACGGCAUCCGGAACUGUCAGGCUAGAGUGCAGGAGAGGAAGGUAGAAUUCCCGGUGUAGCGGUGAAAUGCGUAGAGAUCGGGAGGAAUACCAGUGGCGAAGGCGGCCUUCUGGACUGACACUGACGCUGAGGUGCGAAAGCGUGGGUAGCAAACAGGAUUAGAUACCCUGGUCGUC
rnacentral:rRNA from 1 species